UUCCAUGUAGCUCAGCUGGUAAAGCAUCUGCCUGCAAUGCAGGAGACCCUGGUUCCACUCCUGGGUGGGGAA
rnacentral:tRNA from 1 species